GACAAUAAAAUGUAGAGAAUUCGGUGCAACUAGAGAGGGUGGGGUUAAAAACAAAAAAUGGACACAUCCAUGACAGUCCCACAUUAGGUCAAGUCAGAAACAGUGUCUAAUGUUUGAGAAAUUACUGUCAGAAAGUGCCCAAUGUACCCAGGGUCUCCUAGUACUAUAACCACAACAGCAAGCUUUGGGGAAGUGAGGGGGUUACUGUGUCUUCUAGAACUUUCCUUUAACCAUAUUAUUCC